GGAGGCGUAGGGGCCCCGGUGGGUCCCACCGUCUUCAAAACGGCUGGGGGGCCGCUCGGCGCGGUCCCUGGUGGGUUCGACUCCCAUACGCCUCUGCCA
rnacentral:tRNA from 1 species